AUGGGUCCUCUUGACAUUCUGAAUUAUUUGAAGAAGCGCCCCAUAAUCUAUCCUAAUGUUGUUAUUGCAUACAAAAUUUUGUUGACCAUUCCUGUGACUGUUGCAUCUGUUGAAAGGAGUUUUUCUAAACUCAAGUUCUUAAAGUUAUACUUGCGUUCUACUAUGACACAAGAGAGACUUAAUGGAUUGGCGACAAUAGCACUUGAAAAUGAUGUCUUGGAGAAGAUAAAGUACAAAGAUAUGAUUGAAGAUUUUAUUUCAAGAAGUACUAGACGGAUGCUCCUUUUUGGUAGAACAUGA
rnacentral:rRNA from 1 species